CGGAUUAAUUAUUACUAAACAAGGAGGUAUCAAUUUCAUGUCUAUUUAUACAAUCAUAUUAUAUGAUUCCAGGGAUAUCUGCUUUAUCUCUCUCAGAAUAAUCGAUGCCUCACAAGUUACAGGUUCUCAUACUUGCAUGAUGAACAGAGAACCAGACGUUGAUAAAGAACCAACGUAGUGAACUUUAACCCUUUCACCACCACAACUACGUCACGCACACUCUUGAAGUAGGGUGCGUUCGUGACAAUGAGAAUAUCUGGAUUUGCCACAUUUAAAGGAACUAUUGCACCUUUGUAUAAACAUUUAUAUGCAUGACUAAAUAAACAACAAUAAAACACACACAGUACUUACCUGCAAGGAAAUCUGCAGCGGAAUGAAACCACUGCCUGCAGGAACAGACUGAAACAAAAAGGAUUAAAUGGAAAAG